CGAGCGACUGAUUGAGCGAACGACGACUCCUCGUUCGGCAGAGAAACGACCUGAAUUUUUGUCACGAGCAUCGCCAAAACUUUUCUCCCUUUCUUGUGCUCAUUUAUUUUCGGUCGCAACUUAUAUUUUGGUGGAAACAGGCGCACUGUAGAUGAAAUUUAUUAUGAACCUUUUUGAUUUUGUUGAUUUUCUUUGAAAUAAAUUACACAUCUCGGUGCAACAAGUUUUGGAUUU